GACGAACGCUGGCGGCGUGCUUAACACAUGCAAGUCGAGCGGUAAGGCCCUUUCGGGGGUACACGAGCGGCGAACGGGUGAGUAACACGUGGGUGACCUGCCCUCAGCUCUGGGAUAAGCCUGGGAAACUGGGUCUAAUACUGGAUAUGACUCCACGGUGCAUGUCGUGGGGUGGAAAGCCUUGUGCGGCUGAGGAUGGGCCCGCGGCCUAUCAGCUUGUUGGUGGGGGAUGGCCUACCAAGGCGACGACGGGUAGCCGGCCUGAGAGGGCGACCGGCCACACUGGGACUGAGACACGGCCCAGACUCCUACGGGAGGCAGCAGUGGGGAAUCUUGCGCAAAUGGGCGAAAGCCUGACGCAGCGACGCCGCGUGA
rnacentral:rRNA from 1 species